CCAGACUCCUACGGGAGGCAGCAGUGAGGAAUAUUGGUCAAUGGGCGCGAGCCUGAACCAGCCAAGUCGCGUGAGGGAUGACGGUCCUACGGAUUGUAAACCUCUUUUGCCGGGGAGCAAGCGUGCGUUCGUGAACGCGCGUCGAGAGUACCCGGAGAAAAAGCAUCGGCUAACUCCGUGCCAGCAGCCGCGGUAAUACGUAGGUGGCAAGCGUUGUCCGGAUUUACUGGGUGUAAAGGGCGUGUAGCCGGGAAGGCAAGUCAGAUGUGAAAUCUGGAGGCUCAACCUCCAAAUUGCAUUUGAAACUGUUUUUCUUGAGUACUGGAGAGGCAGACGGAAUUCCUUGUGUAGCGGUGAAAUGCGUAGAUAUAAGGAGGAACACCAGUGGCGAAGGCGGUCUGCUGGACAGCAACUGACGGUGAGGCGCGAAAGCGUGGGGAGCAAACAGGAUUAGAUACCCGUGUA
rnacentral:rRNA from 1 species